rnacentral:rRNA from 1 species
GACGAAUGCUGGCUGCGUGCUUAACACAUGCAAGUCGAACGGUGAAGGAGGGCUUGCCCUCCGGAUCAGUGGCGAACGGGUGAGUAACACGUGGGCAACCUGCCCCUCACUCUGGGAUAACGCCGGGAAACCGGCGCUAAUACCGGAUACGACCAGGCGCGACAUCUCGCCUGGUGGAAAGAAUCCCGGUGAGGGAUGGGCCCGCGGCCUAUCAGCUAGUUGGGGGGGUAACGGCCCACCAAGGCGACGACGGGUAGCCGGCCUGAGAGGGCGACCGGCCACACGGGGACUGAGGCACGGCCCAGACUCCUACGGGAGGCAGCAGUGGGGAAUAGUGCGCAAUGGGCGAAAGCCUGACGCAGCGACGCAGCGUGAGGGACGAAGGCCUUCGGGUUGUAAACCGCUUUUGUCGGGGAAGAAACGCUCUGGGUUAAUACCUCGGAGUAAUGACGGUACCCGAAGAAUAAGCACCGGCUAACUAC